rnacentral:rRNA from 1 species
UCAAAAGGGAAACAGCCCGGUCCAUCAGCUAAGGUCCCAAAAUAUAUGCUAAGUGGAAAAGGAUGUGGAGAUGUCCAGACAACUAGGAGGUUGGCUCAGAAGCAGCCAUCCUUUAAAGAGUGCGUAACAGCUCACUAGUCGAAUGACUCUGCGCCGAUAAUUUACCGGGGCUAAGUAUAUUACCGAAGCUAUGGAUUUACGCGUAAGCGUGAGUGGUAGGGGAGCGUUCUAUGUGCGGAGAAGCGGUACCGUAAGGAGCCGUGGAGCGCAUAGAAGAGAG